rnacentral:rRNA from 1 species
AACGAACGCUGGCGGCAGGCCUAACACAUGCAAGUCGAACGGACCCUCCGUGGUUAUCUGCGGACGUGGGGUGAAGGCGUGGUAAUAUGCCCUUCUCUACGGAAUCCUCCUGUUAGACUGGGGGUAAUACAGUAUACGCUAUUUGGGGAAAGGAUUUAUCGGUGAAGGAUUAGCCCGGGUUGGAUUAGGUAGUUGGUGGUGUAAUGGCCUAUCAAGCAGAGGAUCCAUAGCUGGUUUGAGAGGAUGAUCAGCCACACUGGGACUGAGACACGGACCACACUACUACGCGACGGAGCAGUGGAGAAUCUUAGACAAUGGAGGCUAACCUGAUCUAGCCAUGCCGGGUGAGUGAUGAAGUCCUUAGGGUUGCAAAGCUCUUUCAGACGGGACGAUAAUGACGGUACCAGCAGAAGAAGCACCGGCUAACUCCGUG